CAGCAGCCGCGGUAAUACGUAGGUGGCAAGCGUUGUCCGGAAUUAUUUGGCGUAAAGCGCGCGCAGGCGGAUCAGUUGGUCUGUCUUAAAAGUUCGGGGCUUAACCCCGUGAGGGGACGGAAACUGCUGAUCUAGAGUAUCGGAGAGGAAAGUGGAAUUCCUAGUGUAGCGGUGAAAUGCGUAGAUAUUAGGAAGAACACCAGUGGCGAAGGCGACUUUCUGGACGAAAACUGACGCUGGGGCGCGAAAGCCAGGGGAGCGAACGGGAUUAGAUACCCCCGUAGUCCCUGUCUCUUAUACA
rnacentral:rRNA from 1 species